GCCUCCCUCCGCGCCAUCAGACUCCUACGGGAGGCAGCAGUGGGGAAUCUUGCACAAUGGACGAAAGUCUGAUGCAGCAACGCCGCGUGGGGGACGAAGCUUUUCGGAGUGUAAACCCCUUUCGACCCGGAAGAAUGCCCGCAAGGGUUUGACGGUACGGGUAUAAGAAGCCCCGGCUAACUACGUGCCAGCCGCCGCGGUAAUAC
rnacentral:rRNA from 1 species